UGGGGAGUAGCCAAGUUGGUUAAGGCACCUGACUCUGACUCAGGCAUCCGUGGGUUCGAAUCCUCCCUCCCCAGCCA
rnacentral:tRNA from 1 species